rnacentral:rRNA from 1 species
AGCGAACGCUGGCGGCAGGCCUAACACAUGCAAGUCGAACGAACCUUUCGGGGUUAGUGGCGGACGGGUGAGUAACACGUGGGAACGUUCCUUUAGGUUCGGAAUAACUCAGGGACACUUGUGCUAAUACCGAAUGUGCCCUUCGGGGGAAAGAUUAAUCGCCUUUAGAGCGGCCCGCGUCUGAUUAGCUAGUUGUUUGAGGUAAUGGCUCACCAAGGCGACGAUCAGUAGCUGGUCUGAGAGGAUGAUCAGCCACAUUGGGACUGAGACACAGCCCAAACUCCUACGGGAGGCAGCAGUGGGGAAUCUUGCGCAAUGGGCGAAAGCCUGACGCAGCCAUGCCGCGUGAAUGAUGAAGGUCUUAGGAUUGUAAAAUUCUUUCACCGGGGACGAUAAUGACGGUACCCGGAGAAGAAGCCCCGGCUAACUUCGUG